rnacentral:rRNA from 1 species
GAUGAACGCUGGCGGCGUGCCUAAUACAUGCAAGUCGAGCGAACAGACGAGGAGCUUGCUCCUCUGACGUUAGCGGCGGACGGGUGAGUAACACGUGGAUAACCUACCUAUAAGACUGGGAUAACUUCGGGAAACCGGAGCUAAUACCGGAUAAUAUAUUGAACCGCAUGGUUCAAUAGUGAAAGACGGUUUUGCUGUCACUUAUAGAUGGAUCCGCGCCGCAUUAGCUAGUUGGUAAGGUAACGGCUUACCAAGGCAACGAUGCGUAGCCGACCUGAGAGGGUGAUCGGCCACACUGGAACUGAGACACGGUCCAGACUCCUACGGGAGGCAGCAGUAGGGAAUCUUCCGCAAUGGGCGAAAGCCUGACGGAGCAACGCCGCGUGAGUGAUGAAGGUCUUCGGAUCGUAAAACUCUGUUAUUGGGGAAGAACAAAUGUGUAAGUAACUAUGCACGUCUUGACGGUACCUAAUCAGAAAGCCCCGGCUAACUACGUG